AAAUCUAUUCAGGGUACACAGUUAGCUAUCUGUUGCCAAGGCAUGGCUAUUGCCUAUGUAGGAUUCAAGUUUUGUUUGUAGGUGUUGGUACAAAGUCUGUUGUUGACAAUGACCCACUCCAUGUUAAAAAAAAAAAUCCAACAUGUAGACUUAAAUACUUAUUAGUGCAUUUCGUUAUUUAGUUAUGGGUACAUCUGAAACCAGAAGUUCUCAAACUAGCAGUCCUCCUACCCCUAUCUCUUAAGUGCUGGGGUUACAGGCAUAUACCCACUGAAUUUUGGGGGGUGGGUUUUCGCAGAGGCAGGGGUUCAAUUUGUCACUUUGGCUUCCCUGGAACUUGCUCUGCAGACCAGGGUGGCCUCAGACUCAGACCCACCUGCCUCUACCUCCUGAGUGCUGGGAUUGAAGGUGUACAAAGCCAUUUCUAACUGCUGCAUAAACGUUUGUUCCUCAAUCCAAGCAGAAUGUCCACUUCAAAUGUAUGACUGCAGCUGUGCAAUGGUGGCGCAGCACUUAAGACAUAGGGGUAGGAGGACUGCUAGUUUGAGAACUGGUUUCAGAUGUACCCAUAACUAAAUAACUAAAUGUACUAAUAAGUAUUCACGUCAACAUGUUGGAUUUUUUUUUUUAACAUUUUCUUUACUAACAUGUCUAAUGUAGACGUGAAUAGGACAUCCAUGAGAGGAGUGCAUGAGAUUGGCAGUUGAGUUGGGUUCUGUUGGAAUUGAAAGACAAAUGACUAUUUUCCAGACACUUCACAUAUAGUCAUGUCUAAGAGUGAUUAAAUGUCAAAGGCAGAUUUCUAUAGGUUGUCUGCUCUGUGACUGGUGCACCCGAAUCAAACAUAAAUAAGUGGCUUUGUGAGUAAAUUAAAAUUUCAAGAAAUGU
rnacentral:lncRNA from 1 species